UACAGAGGUCUCAACCGUUGUUCGGAUUCAUUGGGCGUAAAGGGUGCGUAGGCGGUCGCGCAAGUCGGAUGUGAAAUCUCAGGGCUCAACCCUGAAACUGCAUUCGAUACUGCCGUGCUUGAGGACUGGAGAGGAGACUGGAAUUUACGGUGUAGCAGUGAAAUGCGUAGAUAUCGUAAGGAAGACCAGUGGCGAAGGCGGGUCUCUGGACAGUUCCUGACGCUGAGGCGCGAAAGCGUGGGGAGCAAACAGG
rnacentral:rRNA from 1 species